ACGGGAGGCAGCAGUGGGGAAUAUUGGGCAAUGGGGGAAACCCUGACCCAGCAACGCCGCGUGAGGGAAGAAGGUUUUCGGAUUGUAAACCUCUGUCCUUGGGGACGAAGGAAGUGACGGUACCAUAGGAGGAAGCCCCGGCUAACUACGUGCCAGCAGCCGCGGUAAUACGGAGGGGGCGAGCGGUGUCCGGAAUGAUUGGGCGUAAAGGGCGUGUAGGCGGCCCGUUAAGUCUGGAGUGAAAGUCCCGCUUUCAAGGUGGGAAUUGCUUUGGAUACUGAUGGGCUUGAGUGCAGGAGAGGAAAGCGGAAUUACCGGUGUAGCGGUGAAAUGCGUAGAGAUCGGUAGGAACACCAGUGGCGAAGGCGGCUUUCUGGACUGAAACUGACGCUGAGGCGCGAAAGCGUGGGGAGCAAACAGGAUUAGAUACCCUGGUA
rnacentral:rRNA from 1 species